AGUGAACGCUGGCGGCAGGCCUAAUACAUGCAAGUCGAACGGCAGCACAGCAGAGCUUGCUCUGUGGGUGGCGAGUGGCGGACGGGUGAGGAAUACAUGGGAAUCUGCCCAGUCGUGGGGGAUAACGUAUGGAAACGUACGCUAAUACCGCAUGCGCCCUUUGGGGGAAAGCCGGGGACCUUCGGGCCUGGCGCGAUUGGAUGAGCCCAUGUUCGAUUAGCUAGUUGGCGGGGUAAAGGCCCACCAAGGCGACGAUCGAUAGCUGGUCUGAGAGGAUGAUCAGCCACACUGGGACUGAGGCACGGCCCAGACUCCUACGGGAGGCAGCAGUAGGGAAUAUUGGACAAUGGGCGCAAGCCUGAUCCAGCCAUGCCGCGUGAGUGAAGAAGGCCCUCGGGUUGUAAAGCUCUUUUGUCCGGAAAGAAAAGCAUUCGGUUAAUACCCGGGUGUUCUGACGGUACCGGAAGAAUAAGCACCGGCUAACUUCGUG
rnacentral:rRNA from 1 species